rnacentral:rRNA from 1 species
CAGUCGCCGCGGUAAUACGUAGGGCGCGAGCGCUGUCCGGAAUUAUUGGGCGUAAAGGGCUCGCAGGCGGUUUCUUAAGUCUGAUGUGAAAGCCCCCGGCUCAACCGGGGAGGGUCAUUGAAAACUGGGAAACUUGAGUGCAGGAGAGGAGGGUGGAAUUCCACGUGUAGCGGUGAAAUGCGUAGAGAUGUGGAGGAACACCAGUGGCGAAGGCGACUCUCUGGUCUGUAACUGACGCUGAGGAGCGAAAGCGUGGGGAGCGAACAGGAUUAGAUACCCCGGUAGUCCCUGUCUCUUAUAC